UACAGGAGGUCCCAAGCGUUGUUCGGAUUCAUUGGGCGUAAAGGGUGCGUAGGCGGCGCGGUAAGUCGGGUGUGAAAUCUCGGGGCUUAACUCCGAAACUGCAUUCGAUACUGCCGUGCUUGAGGACUGGAGAGGAGACUGGAAUUUACGGUGUAGAGGUGAAAUUCGUAGAUAUUCGCAAGAACACCAGUGGCGAAGGCGGACUCACUGGCCCGAUACUGACGCUGAGGCACGAAAGCGUGGGGAGCAAACAGGG
rnacentral:rRNA from 1 species